rnacentral:rRNA from 1 species
GACGAACGCUGGCGGCGUGCCUAAUACAUGCAAGUAGAACGCACAGUUUAUACCGUAGCUUGCUACACCAUAAACUGUGAGUUGCGAACGGGUGAGUAACGCGUAGGUAACCUGCCUGGUAGCGGGGGAUAACUAUUGGAAACGAUAGCUAAUACCGCAUAAUAUUAAUUAUUGCAUGAUAAUUGAUUGAAAGAUGCAAUUGCAUCACUACCAGAUGGACCUGCGUUGUAUUAGCUAGUAGGUGAGGUAACGGCUCACCUAGGCGACGAUACAUAGCCGACCUGGAAGGGUGAUCGGCCACACUGGGACUGAGACACGGCCCAGACUCCUACGGGAGGCAGCAGUAAGGAAUCUUCAGCAAUGGACGAAAGUCUGACCGGGCAACGCCGCGUGAGUGAAGAAGGUUUUCGGAUCGGAAAACUCUGUUGUAAGAGGAGAACGGGGGUGGGAGUGGAAAGUUCACACUGUGACGGUAUCUUACCAGAAAGAGACGGCUAACUACGUG